CUGGUGGCGGAAUUGGUAGACGCGUCAGACUUAAAAUCUGAUGGCCGCAAGGCCGUGGGGGUUCGAGUCCCCCCCUGCCC
rnacentral:tRNA from 1 species